rnacentral:misc_RNA from 1 species
CCCAAAUUUUCUCUCGUUUGUUUAGCAAUUUGCAGCUGAAUGCAAGCUACGCCAUUUCUGACCAAAACUUCCCAAAUUUUUAUGUCGCUCAAAAAGUUUCUUAUCUUCACACAAAUUACAUUGUUAUUGAACACAAGUGAAAAUUACACAGAACAACACCUCUAUCAUACACGGACGCCGACAAAGAUUUAAAUCUUAUAUAUCUCACCAUCACAUAUAAGGAC